GACGAACCGAGCGAACGUUGUUCGGAAUUACUGGGCGUAAAGGGCUCGUAGGUGGACAACUAAGUCGGACGUGAAAUCCCUCGGCUUAACCGGGGAACUGCGUCCGAUACUGGUUGGCUUGAGUUUGGGAGAGGGAUGCGGAAUUCCAGGUGUAGCGGUGAAAUGCGUAGAUAUCUGGAGGAACACCGGUGGCGAAGGCGGCAUCCUGGACCAACACUGACACUGAGGAGCGAAAGCCAGGGGAGCAAACGGG
rnacentral:rRNA from 1 species